UACGUAGGGACCGAGCGUUGUCCGGAUUCAUUGGGCGUAAAGAGCUCGUAGGCGGCCACUCAAGUCGAAUGUGAAACCUCGAGGCUUAACCUCGAGCCUGCAUUCGAUACUGGGCGGCUAGAGUCUGGUAGGGGGAUCUGGAAUUCCUGGUGUAGCGGUGGAAUGCGCAGAUAUCAGGAGGAACACCGGUGGCGAAAGCGGCACCCUAGCCUUAGCCUGACGCUCAUGUGCGAAAGCGUGGGGAGCGAACGGG
rnacentral:rRNA from 1 species